rnacentral:piRNA from 1 species
CCAGUGUUAUAAUCUGUUUGUCACUCA